rnacentral:lncRNA from 1 species
ACUUGUGCCACCUCUUAUGCGCCUCACGUUCCGCAUCAAUCGACUCAUCAGUUAAGGGCGCGGGACGUGGAGUGGUAAGCACAAAACUGUGUUCAUCAGCGUCAAGAAUAUACAUUAUGUGACGUUUCCAUUCGGUAUAGUUAUGACCGGUGAGAGGAUUGUUUGCAAGAAUAGAGAUGAUCGGAGACAUAGACAUAUCUGAAAGUAAACAAUUUAAACAUGUAAGAACAUGAAGCACAUAAUUCGUAACAAUAAUAUUGUAACCUUUUGAUAAAACAAUAUUAAUGAAACCUCCAACUGCCCAAGAAAACUCACGAGUAAGCCACGAUAGAAAACUCACGAGUAAGCCACGAUAGUGUAACACCUGGUAUUUUCACUACAGUAUAUAUAUUAUUAAUAUUAUUUUCUAUUUCCUAUUAUUUUAAAGACGAAAGAGAAGUUUCAAUUUUAUGCAAAAAGCCCAAUAAAUAUUAUUUGGGCAAGUAAUUAUUUCAAUUUAUGGAGUUAAGCCCAAUACUUUAUUAUUUGGGCCAGUGAUUUUAUAUAUAUAUAUAUAUAUAUAUAUAUAUAUAUAUAUAUAUAUAUGCAUUCGGUUUUAAAACAAGAUCAAUAUUUAUUAUAUGGCCAGAGAAUAGUGUAAGAAUGGCUCUUUUAUUAAAGAGCAGAUAGAUUAGUCAGCUUUAUAAGUAUAAAUGGAUUAUUAAGUUUGUUAAUCCUGAGUAAUUCUCCAGCCAACACGUAGCACACCACUUUUUAGUCAGCUGGUGUUAAACCGCCUAUAAAUUCAGUAUAAUACCAUGAGCCAAUCCAACCAAAUUUUCUCAACUCUGCCAUCAUCUGUUACAGCAAUCUUCCGCAGCACAGCAGGUCCAAUUCACAGGUAGUAUCUCUUAUUGCAGUUCCUAUAUAUUAGAGCAGCAACUAAGAAUAAUAGUGAUGAAUAAUAGCUACACCAAGUAGAUACAAGCAUAGUUGCAACAGUCCCUAACUCUAAUUUCUUCUACAAAACAGUAUGCUUUUCCCCAUCAAAAUAUCAAUUUCUCAGUAAAUCAGCAAAAGAGAAUAAAUUUACAGGACAAGAAAAAGGUAGAAACUUGAGCUGCAGUAUCGGUAGACGAGCUUCCACGCCGGAGUAAUUCCUGAAAUAGGGAAAUAGUUGGGAUUAGUUAGUAUUAAGUUUUAAAAUAGAACUGUAAUAAAAGAGAGGAGGAGAUAAAACACGGAAGUGAUGGCAACAGCAGUAGCCGCGAACCACCGCGGCAGAGGCCCGACUGGAAGCGGCGACCGCCGGCGCUGCUGCGCAGCCGCGCGGCUCGCGGCAGCCGCCGCGAACAAGAGAGGGCAGAGAAAGAGGGAGCUCGAGGGAGAGAGCAGAGACAGAAGUAGAGAGAGAGACAGGGACUUACCUGAAACAGAGGAGGCGGCGGCGUGACAGAGACGACGGCGGGGCGGUAGGCUUCGCCGGAGAGACGAAUUCCAGAGGGGAUGAAGAGAGGUAGAAACCCUAGGAUUUUGAUUUUAUAAUUUGGGGAUUGAGACUUAGGGAAAAGAGAAAUGGAAAGAAAGGAAAGGGGGAAAGGAGAGGGCCGGCCUCGCCGCGCCGGAGGCAGGGAGGACCGGCGACACUCGCCGGAAGAGAGAGAAAAAAAAGACGCAGAGUGAGAGAACGCAGAGAGAGGGAGAACGUGUGUGAGGAGAGAGAGAAGAGAGAGAAAUCUGAUUGCUUGUUUUAAGAAAGAAGAGUUGUAGUAGUUUUAAUUUAGGGCAAUUCUAUUUACAGCCCCC